GAUGAACGCUAGCUACAGGCUUAACACAUGCAAGUCGAGGGGAAACGAUAGAAAAAGCUUGCUUUUUCUAGGCGUCGACCGGCGCACGGGUGAGUAACGCGUAUCCAACCUGCCCACCACUUGGGGAUAACCUUGCGAAAGUAAGACUAAUACCCAAUGACGUCCAUAGAAGACAUCUGAAAUGGAUUAAAGAUUUAUCGGUGAUGGAUGGGGAUGCGUCUGAUUAGCUUGUUGGCGGGGUAACGGCCCACCAAGGCGACGAUCAGUAGGGGUUCUGAGAGGAAGGUCCCCCACAUUGGGACUGAGACACGGUCCAAACUCCUACGGGAGGCAGCAGUGAGGAAUAUUGGUCAAUGGGCGAGAGCCUGAACCAGCCAAGUAGCGUGCAGGAUGACGGCCCUAUGGGUUGUAAACUGCUUUUAUAAGGGAAUAAAGUGGGAGUCGUGACUCCUUUUGCAUGUACCUUAUGAAUAAGGACCGGCUAAUUCCGUGCCAGCCGCCGCGGUAACAC
rnacentral:rRNA from 1 species